UACGGGGGGGGCAAGCGUUGUUCGGAAUUACUGGGCGUAAAGGGCUCGUAGGCGGUUUGUCGCGUCGGGAGUGAAAUCCACUGGCUUAACUGGUGGCUUGCUUUCGAUACGGGCAGACUGGAGGUAUGCAGGGGAGAACGGAAUUCCUGGUGUAGCGGUGAAAUGCGCAGAUAUCAGGAGGAACACCGGUGGCGAAGGCGGGUCUCUGGGCCGAUACUGACGCUGAGGAGCGAAAGCGUGGGGAGCGAACAGG
rnacentral:rRNA from 1 species